rnacentral:rRNA from 1 species
GUCGAACGAUGAUGGGAGCUUGCUCCUGGAUUAGUGGCGAACGGGUGAGUAACACGUGAGUAACCUGCCCUUAACUCUGGGAUAAGCCUGGGAAACUGGGUCUAAUACCGGAUAUGACUCCUCAUCGCAUGGUGGGGGGUGGAAAGCUUUAUUGUGGUUUUGGAUGGACUCGCGGCCUAUCAGCUUGUUGGUGAGGUAAUGGCUUACCAAGGCGACGACGGGUAGCCGGCCUGAGAGGGUGACCGGCCACACUGGGACUGAGACACGGCCCAGACUCCUACGGGAGGCAGCAGUGGGGAAUAUUGCACAAUGGGCGCAAGCCUGAUGCAGCGACGCCGCGUGAGGGAUGACGGCCUUCGGGUUGUAAACCUCUUUCAGUAGGGAAGAAGCGAAAGUGACGGUACCUGCAGAAGAAGCGCCGGCUAACUACGUGCCAGCAGCCGCGGUAAUACGUAGGGCGCAAGCGUUAUCCGGAAUUAUUGGGCGUAAAGAGCUCGUAGGCGGUUUGUCGCGUCUGCCGUGAAAGUCCGGGGCUCAACUCCGGAUCUGCGGUGGGUACGGGCAGACUAGAGUGAUGUAGGGGAGACUGGAAUUCCUGGUGUAGCGGUGAAAUGCGCAGAUAUCAGGAGGACACCGAUGGCGAAGGCAGGUCUCUGGGCAUUAACUGACGCUGAGGAGCGA